UACGUAGGGUGCAAGCGUUGUCCGGAAUUAUUGGGCGUAAAGAGCUCGUAGGCGGUCUGUCGCGUCGGCUGUGAAAUCCCGAGGCUCAACCUCGGGUCUGCAGUCGAUACGGGCAAACUGGAGUACUGCAGGGGAGACUGGAAUUCCUGGUGUAGCGGUGGAAUGCGCAGAUAUCAGGAGGAACACCGGUGGCGAAGGCGGGUCUCUGGGCAGUAACUGACGCUGAGGAGCGAAAGCGUGGGGAGCGAACAGG
rnacentral:rRNA from 1 species